ensembl:lncRNA novel transcript
AAAAGCCUGCCAGAAGGUACCACCUUUCUCCUUUACCCAGAUGGUGCCUACAUUUGUUCCUGUGAUUUGAGGAGGAAGCUAACCUGGGGCUUCGGAGCAGAAGCUUUUUCCCUAGGUCCAUCUCCUGCACUGCAGUCUGAUGAGGGCUGCUGAGGGGAAGCUGGAACCCACCAUUCUGCACGCUCAUCGUUUUGAGCAGGAGUUAGCUGAUUCUGGAGCUGGAAAUGCUCAGCUCGAGAGAUGCUGAUAAAGAGAACCUUCUUGCUCUUCUGGCUGUUCUAGAGCCCUGCUCUUGGGAUGAUGGGACCCAAGAGCCCAGUGGCAUGGCUUUCUCCAGGGUACCAAACUAUCAACACCAUCAUCACUACCACUACUACAAUGAUGAUGGUACCUAAUGUGUAAAUUGAUUACAACAAUGGCCCCGAUUCACCUUCCCUCCCUCAUCCACACCAUUCCAAUGUGUCUUUGCAGUUCUUCUCUUCCAAUACUUGACUGUUUCCCCAUACUUUGAAUCUGAAUUAACUUGUGACUUGCUUUGGCCAUUUGAACGCAUCAGAGGUGACAUGGGGCCAGUUCUAAGCUUAGGCCUCAAGAGGCCACACUCUCCAUUGGGACCCUGCCACCAACAUCUGGUGGCAGAAGAGGAAUUCAGAAAUUAGAAGCAUGAGAAACAUUCAACAACAGCCAGCCAGGAAACAAGAAUCUGCAAACCACAAGAAGCUGAAUUGGGCCAGCAACCGGGAUGAGCAUGAAAGCCGAUUUUCUCCCCCAGAGCCUCCAGAUAAGAGCCCAGUCUGGAAACACCUUGAUUUUGGCCUGUGAGACCCUAAAGAGACAUCCAAAUGCUCCUGCCUGGACUUCUGACUUACAGAACUAUGACAUAAUACAUGCGUGUCAUUUUAAGUUUCUAAAUUUCUGGCAAUAGAAAAUGAAUACACCUGA